rnacentral:lncRNA from 1 species
CCACGUGGGUGACUGAAAGACGAACGAAGUCAGUGGCGGUAAUGCACCUAAUUUAUGAAAGUUGCCAAUCGCAAUAUAAAGUCAAGAGAAGAAAAAGGCUGGAAGGAGGAGAGAUGACUAGAAACGAUUCGGUUGACCGUUAUAUGUGUGGAUUAAUUGCCGGAGUAGAGGACCUUGUGCAUUUCAGAGGAUGAAUGCUGCCUUUAAGAGCCUACGUAUUCAAGCAGAAACUGACCGCCAUGAGAUGCUGAAAGAGCAACAUCAGGAAGCCCUACAAAGUUCCAAACAAGAACAAGAAUCCCUGUUAGAGUCUGCAAAGUGCCGAACAGCUCAAUAAAGACUUUGAAGAGAGAUUAAAGAAAAGAAAGACAGCCAGCUACAACUCCUUGAAGAUGAACUGGAUGUCAAAACAAAAUCCAUACAGUCACAAAGUUGUUGAGACCAGAACAUCAGAACUCACCACAGAGUUUAAGAUGAAACAUGCUGAAAUUCACUAAUUCAAGAAUAAAGUCUGCUGAAAACAAUUUACUGGAAAAGGCUCUUGAAAAGGCUGAGACGAUGCAAAACUAUUUGAAGGAAAAAGCCAAUAUGACUGAGAGGAAAAUACAAGAGAUUGAGGGGCAGUUAUCUGCUGCAAUGAGAAGAGAUGAAAAAUCCAUCAAGGAAAAAGAUAAUCUAAAGACAGACAUUGUACAACAUGAGGUGAAGUAUGAAGAGCUAUCAGCAAGUUUCAAUCAGCUGCAACUUGAGAACAAGACUAUGCUGGAGAAGAUGCAGAAUGAAUCCUCAGAGGCAACCCUUCUUGUAGCACGACUAAAAGUCUGUAUGAAUUGAACAUGUGUUGCUAUAUGUAUAGAAUAAUACAGAAUAAUUUAGCAGUUUUCUGAUCAUUUAUGGUAUUGUGUUGUUAUGGGAAUAUUUUUCUCUCAUUCAGGAGAGGGAGGCAAAAGAUGAAGAUGAAGGAAAUUGAAAGACUCCAGGAGGAAAACCAUCAAUUAUGAGAGGAUUUGAAAUCCUAAAAUGACAAAGUUGAAGAGCAAGGUGAAGACACUGAGAAUCUGCAGAAGAAACUUGGAAAAAGUGUACAGGAGCUACAGCUUCGAGCUACAGAGGCCGUCAAGAGUAAGGAAGAUGCUGAAGUCAAAUGUCAGAACAAGACGCAGACAUGGUUGCCGUGACAGAAAGCACAAGGUUAAGUUCUCUGUUGGUAUCAGAACCACUAUGACAAAAUGGUUGAUGAGAAAGAUGCAGAGCUUGAUGAGAAGAAGAGGAAAGACAUGGAGGCAGCUGUUAAUAGAACAUCACUGGUAUGAUACAUGAUAGUAUAUGAAUUAACAUGUCAUUGUAUUAACUGGGAGUAUUUCAGUAGGGUGUUAUAGCUCUGCUUCUUUUCCCGAAUUUUUUUCCCUCGGGAAUUGGAUCUGUCACAGCAGAACAUGGAGAAUGGCCAUUUGAAGGAACAACUGGAGAAAGAAAUGAAGGAGAGGGAAAGCUGACUACAGGAGAUUACAGGCCUGGAAAAAGAGACGGCGUGUCAGAAAAUGAGCAGGCAACUGGAGACACAGGAUAAACAGGAAAUGGAAAGCGAAGCCCCAAGAACGCAAUCUUGGAGCUUUAUGACUACAGUUAGAGCAACAUCGCAAAUGAAGGAAAGCAAAGCUCUCAAAACUCCAUCUUGGCGUUCCCCCAGUACAGCUGGUGCAACACCACGGAUUAAGAUCCAGAGCCCUGUUGUUCAGAAAUCACUUGGGAGUGCUUUAAAGCUCGCUGCAAUGAAAAGGAUGCAGGAUGCUGGUUGGACAGCUGUCGCUGGUGCUGACAAGGAGAAGAAAAACAUCAAGUGCUUUUCAAAAUUGAUCGUUUUUUGUGUGUGUGACAAAUGUGGACAUUCAAUAUGCUCUUUUCAUUACACCACUGCUCUCAAGUUCAUCCAUGUCUAUAGUUGUCUGAUGCUGGGAAAUCUGUUGACCGAAAUAGACAUUUAAAAUGCAAGUCAAAACAAUUUGAAAUGACCCAGGUAUAUUAUCUUGUUUUGAUGUUACUGUUUAGCCACAUUACUCACUUUAUUAAUGGAAAAAAUGGAAAAUGCUUGUUUUGAACAGACUUGCCACCUUUGACUCCAUUCAACAUAAAUAAGUUCAAGUGUUUGUUCAUAACAUUGUUGUUUUUGCUUGUGCUGUUUUUAUGUUCCUACAUAUGACAUUUGUCAACAUUGUGUUAUUUACAGUGGUGUAAAGUACUUAAGUAAAAAUACGUUAAAGUACUACUAAAGUAGUUUUUUGGUAUCUGUACUUUACUUCACUAUUUAUAUUUUUGACAACUUUUACUCCACUACAUUCCUAAAGAAAACUAUGGACUUUUUACUGCAUACAUUUCGAAUGCUUAGCAGGACAUGAAAAUGGUGCAGUUCACGCACUUAUCAAGAGGUCAUCCCUACUG